CUGCCACCGAAUACAUUAGCAUGGGAUAAUGGAAUAGGACCCUGUCCUCCUAUUUUCAGUUGGUUUUGGCAGCGCGAGGACUAGGGUAAUGAUUAAUAGGGAUAGUUGGGGGCAUUAAUAUUUAAUUGUCAGAGGUGAAAUUCUUGGAUUUAUGAAAGAUUAACUUCUGCGAAAGCAUCUGCCAAGGAUGUUUUCAUUAAUCAAGAACGAAAGUUAGGGGAUCGAAGACGAUCAGAUACCGUCGUAGUCUUAACCAUAAACGAUGCCGACCAGCGAUUAGGAGACGUUGAAUACAAAACACCACCAUCGGCGCGGUCGUCCUUGGCGUCUGUCCCUUUCAACGGGGGCAGGCGCGAGGGCGGUUUAGCCCGGUGGCACCGGUGAAUGACUCCCUAGCA
rnacentral:rRNA from 1 species